UACGGAGGGUGCAAGCGUUAUCCGGAUUUACUGGGUUUAAAGGGUGCGUAGGUGGGUCUGUAAGUCAGUGGUGAAAUCUUCAAGCUUAACUUGGAAACUGCCAUUGAUACUAUAGGUCUUGAAUUAUCUGGAGGUAAGCGGAAUAUGUCAUGUAGCGGUGAAAUGCUUAGAUAUGACAUAGAACACCAAUUGCGAAGGCGGCUCACUGGCCCGAUACUGACGCUGAGGCACGAAAGCGUGGGGAGCAAACAGG
rnacentral:rRNA from 1 species